rnacentral:rRNA from 1 species
UACGUAGGGACCAAGCGUUGUUCGGAUUUACUGGGCGUAAAGGGCGCGUAGGCGGCGCGGUAAGUCACUUGUGAAAUCUCUGAGCUUAACUCAGAACGGCCAAGUGAUACUGCAGUGCUAGAGUGUGGAAGGGGCAAUCGGAAUUCUUGGUGUAGCGGUGAAAUGCGUAGAUAUCAAGAGGAACACCUGAGGUGAAGACGGGUUGCUGGGCUGACACGUGACGCUGAUGCGCGAAAGCCAGGGGAGCAAACGGG